rnacentral:rRNA from 1 species
CCCUUAGACGUUCUGGGCCGCACGCGCGCUACACUGAUGCAUUCAACGAGUUUCUUCCUGGUCCGAGAGGAAUGGGUAACCUUUUGAAAGUGCAUCGUGAUAGGGAUAGACUAUUGCAAUUAUUGGUCUUCAACGAGGAAUUCCUAGUAGACGUAGUUCAUCAGACUGCAUCGAUUACGUCCCUGCCCUUUGUACACACCGCCCGUCGCUCCUACCGAUUGAAUGCUCAGGUGAGCCAUUCGGACUUUCAUCAUGCUGGUUUCCAGUUUUGAUGAAGGAAAGUCUUGCGAACCUUAUCAUUUAGAGGAAGGAAAAGUCGUAACA